rnacentral:rRNA from 1 species
AAGGCAGGAGAAGUCUGAACCAGCCAUGCCGCGUGGAGGAUGAAGGUCCUCUGGAUUGUAAACUUCUUUUAUAUGGGACGAAAAAGGGACUUUCUAGUUCAACUGACGGUACCAUAUGAAUAAGCACCGGCUAACUCCGUGCCAGCAGCCGCGGUAAUACGAUACGA